rnacentral:rRNA from 1 species
CUACGGGGGGCUGCAGUGGGGAAUAUUGGACAAUGGGGGAAACCCUGAUCCAGCAAUGCCGCGUGUGUGAAGAAGGCCUGCGGGUUGUAAAGCACUUUCGGUUGGGAGGACUGCUUCUAGCACUAAUAUUGUUGGAAGUUGACGUUACCUUCAGAAGAAGCACCGGCUAACUCCGUGCCAGCAGCCGCGGUAAUACGGAGGGUGCAUGCGUUAAUCGGAAUUACUGGGCGUAAAGCGCGCGUAGGCGGCUAGAUCAGUCGGGUGUGAAAGCCCCGGGCUUAACCUGGGAACUGCAUCCGAUACUGUCUAGCUUGAGUACAGGAGGGGAGAGUGGAAUUCCACAUGUAGCGGUGAAAUGCGUAGAUAUGCGGAGGAACACCAAUGGCGAAGGCAGCUCUCUGGCCUGAUACUGACGCUGAGGUGCGAAAGCGUGGGGAGCAAACAGGAUUAGAUACCCCUGUAGUC